AUUGAACGCUGGCGGCAUGCCUUACACAUGCAAGUCGAACGGUAACGGGCCUUCGGGUGCCGACGAGUGGCGAACGGGUGAGUAAUGUAUCGGAACGUACCUUUCAGUGGGGGAUAACGUAGCGAAAGUUACGCUAAUACCGCAUACGUCCUGAGGGAGAAAGCGGGGGAUCGCAAGACCUCGCGCGAUUGGAGUGGCCGAUGUCAGAUUAGCUAGUUGGUGGGGUAAAGGCCUACCAAGGCGACGAUCUGUAGCGGGUCUGAGAGGAUGAUCCGCCACACUGGGACUGAGACACGGCCCAGACUCCUACGGGAGGCAGCAGUGGGGAAUUUUGGACAAUGGGGAAACCCUGAUCCAGCCAUGCCGCGUGCGGGAAGAAGGGCCUUCGGGUUGUAAACCGCUUUCGGACGGAAAGAAUACGCCAUUCCUAAUACGAGUGGUGGAUGACGGUACCGUAAGAAGAAGCACCGGCUAACUACGUGCCAGCAGCCGCGGUAAGAGUACUCUAU
rnacentral:rRNA from 1 species